UACAGAGGUCUCAAGCGUUGUUCGGAAUUCAUUGGGCGUAAAGGGUGCGUAGGUGGCGCGCUAAGUCAGGUGUGAAAUUUCGGAGCUUAACUCCGAAACUGCAUUUGAUACUGGUGUGCUUGAGGACUGGAGAGGAGACUGGAAUUCAUGGUGUAGCAGUGAAAUGCGUAGAGAUCAUGAGGAAGACCAGUGGCGAAGGCGGGUCUCUGGACAGUUCCUGACACUGAGGCACGAAGGCCAGGGGAGCAAACGGG
rnacentral:rRNA from 1 species